rnacentral:rRNA from 1 species
GUUGGCUUAGAAGCAGCCACUCAUUUAAAGAGUGCGUAAUAGCUCACUAGUCGAGAGAUCCUGCGCCGAAAAUGUCCGGGGCUCAAACUUACCACCGAAGCUACGGGCUUGCGUAAGCAAGCGGUAGGGGAGCGUCGUAAUCGGGCUGAAGUCGUACCGUAAGGAGCGGUGGACUGAUUACGAGUGAGAAUGUUGGCAUUAGUAGCGAGAUGUAGGUGAGAAUCCUACAGGCCGAAUAUCUAAGGUUUCCUCAGGAAGGCUCGUCCGCUGAGGGUUAGUCGGGACCUAAGCCGAGGCCGAAAGGCGUAGGCGAUGGACAAUCGGUUGAUAUUCCGAUACCACUACCAUCGUUAUUAUCGAGGGUGUGACGGAGAAGGAUAGUGUGUGCUAGCGAUUGGAAAUGCUAGUCUAAGCGUUUAGGGAGUUACGGUAGGCAAAUCCGCUGUAACAAUUCUGAGGCGUGAUGGGGAAGGCCAUAUAGGCCGAAGUACAUGAUUCCAUGCUUCCAAGAAAAGCAUCUAGAGAGAGAAGUAGUGCCCGUACCGCAAACCGACACAGGUAGAUGAGGAGAGAAUCCUAAGGCCGGCGGAAGAAUUGCAGUUAAGGAACUAGGCAAAUUGACCCCGUAAGUUCGCGAGAAGGGGUGCCUGCGAGAGCAGGCCGCAGAGAAUAGGCCCAAGCAACUGUUUAGCAAAAACACAGGUCUCUGCUAAAGCGUAAGCUGAUGUAUAGGGGCUGACGCCUGCCCGGUGCUGGAAGGUUAAGGGGAACACUUAGCGCAAGCGAAGGUGUGAACUUAAGCCCCAGUAAACGGCGGCCGUAACUAUAACGGUCCUAAGGUAGCGAAAUUCCUUGUCAGGUAAGUUCUGACCCGCACGAAUGGCGUAAUGACUUGGGCACUGUCUCAACUGCAAAUCCGGCGAAGUUGUAGUGCGAGUGAAGAUGCUCGCUACCCGCGAUUGGACGGAAAGACCCCGUAGAGCUUUACUGUAGCUUAGCAUUGAAUUCCGGUAUUGUCUGUACAGGAUAGGUGGGAGACUGGGAAACUAGGGCGUCAGCCUUAGUGGAGUCAACCUUGGGAUACCACCCUGACAGUACUGGGGUUCUAACAGGACGCCAUGAAUCUGGUGACUGGACAUUGUUAGGUGGGCAGUUUGACUGGGGCGGUCGCCUCCUAAAAAGUAACGGAGGCGCCCAAAGGUUCCCUCAGAACGGUCGGAAAUCGUUCGUAGAGUGCAAAGGCAGAAGGGAGCCUGACUGCGAGACCUACAAGUCGAGCAGGGACGAAAGUCGGGCUUAGUGAUCCGGUGGUACCUCGUGGGAGGGCCAUCGCUCAACGGAUAAAAGCUACCUCGGGGAUAACAGGCUGAUCUCCCCCAAGAGUCCACAUCGACGGGGAGGUUUGGCAC